UUUUAGAACAGCUUCAAGGGUAGUUCUGAAGAGGAUGGACCUAGUCUGUUCUCCAUGGUGGAAGACGACAGAACAAGGAGCAGUGGUCUCAAGUUGCAGCAAGGGAACUUUAGGUUAGAUAUUAGGAA